AGCUUGCUCAGACCCCCAGGGAUGAAGGGAACACCCGGGCUAGGCUAAGACCAGCGGGCCUGAGGCAUGGCUCCAUCUCUGUGACCCUGGGCCUCAGCCAUGCUGCCGCGGGAGAGUGGCCCAGGCUCACCAUCACCCCCAGAACUGCACUCUGCCAGCAAGGUGUAGCUACUUCACAUCGACUGACUCCAAGAUGGCAAUCCAGUUGCGUUCGCUCUUCCCCUUGGCGUUGCCCGGAAUGCUGGCCCUCCUUGGCUGGUGGUGGUUUUUCUCUCGUAAAAAAGAUCGGCUCAGCAGCAGUGAUAAGCAGGUGGAGACACUGAAGGUUGGCCCUGCCAUCAAGGACCGACGGCUCAGUGAAGAGGCCUGUCCUGGAGUCCUGUCUGUGGCCCCCACUGUCACACAGCCUCCUGGAAGGGAAGAGCAGCGCUGUGUGGACAAGCCUUCUACAGAGCCCCUGGCCUUGCCGAGGACUCGCCAGGUUCGACGAAGAUCAGAGUCCUCAGGCAACCUCCCCAGCGUUGCAGACACGAGGUCGCAGCCAGGACCGUGCAGAGAUGAGAUCGCCAAAGUGGAACUCUCCCUGAUGGGGGACAAAGCCAAAUCUAUUCCUCUUGGAUGUCCGCUUCUCCCAAAGGAUGCGUCCUUCCCCUAUGAAGCAGUGGAAAGGUGUAAGCAGGAGUCCGCACUGGGCAAGACUCCUGGAAGAGGCUGGCCAAGCCCGUAUGCGGCCUCUGGAGAGAAAGCGAGAGAGACAGGUGGGACAGAGGGGACUGGAGAUGCUGUGUUGGGGGAAAAUGUAUCUGAGGAAGGCCUAUUGUCCCAGGAGUGUGUCUCAGAAGUGGAGAAGAGUGAGUUUCCAAUCCUGGCCCCCGGGGGAGGUGAGGGAGAAGAGGUGAGCCAUGGCCCCCCACAGGUAGCUGAACUUUUAAAGAAGGAAGAAUAUAUUGUUGGGAAGUUGCCGAGUAGCUUUGUGGAGCCAGUUCACUCAGAGCCGGUUAAGGACGAGGAUGCGUUGGAACCCCAGGUCAAAGGUAGCAGCAAUACUUCGGAUAGAGACCUGGCUGGAGAGCUGGACAAAGACGAGACCGUGCCUGAAAAUGACCAGAUUAAGCAGGCUGCCUUCCAGCUCAUCUCCCAGGUGAUCUUGGAAGCAACUGAAGAGUUUCGGGCCACCACAGUGGGCAAGACUGUGGCACAAGUGCACCCAACCUCGGCCACUCAGCCUAAGGGGAAGGAGGAGAGCUGUGUUCCAGCCAGCCAGGAAACUAGCUUGGGACAAGACACCUCAGAUCCUGCUUCCACCAGAACAGGUGCCACUGCCAGCCCUUCAGCAGAAGCUCUGCCACCAAAGACCUAUGUAAGCUGUCUCAGCAGCCCUCUGUCAGGCCCCACCAAGGACCAGAAGCCAAAGAACUCUGCACAUCACAUCUCCCUGGCUCCCUGCCCACCGCCAGUCACCCCCCAGAGGCAGUCUCUGGAGGGGGCAAGUAACCCGAGAGGUGAUGACAACUUUGUCGCCUGUAUGGCCAACAACAGCCAGAGUGUCCUUUCAGUUAGCUCCUUGGGGCAGUGCUCAGAUCCUGUCAGUACUUCGGGGCUUGAAGACUCUUGCACAGAGACCAUCUCAAGCUCCGGAGACAAAGCUAUGACCCCACCACUGCCAGUCAGUACUCAGCCCUUCAGCAACGGGGUGCUGAAGGAGGAGCUGUCAGACUUAGGGACCGAGGAUGGAUGGACCAUGGAUACAGAAGCAGAUCACUCAGGAGUUGCAGCUCCACCCCAGGAAAGAGGGCACUUUGGUAACGGAGGGUGCACUGGGUUUUUCGAGUGCUGACCCCAGCCAGCGUAGACAGUUCAGACCGCUAACUUACAGGUUCUGACGGGAACAGUAUGGAUUCAGUGGAUAGCUGUUGCGGGCUUACCAAGCCCGAUAGCCCCCAGAGUGUCCAGGCAGGCUCCAACCCUAAGAAGGUUGACCUUAUCAUCUGGGAGAUCGAGGUGCCAAAGCACUUAGUUGGUCGACUGAUUGGCAAGCAGGGACGGUACGUGAGUUUUCUGAAGCAGACAUCUGGUGCCAAGAUCUACAUCUCCACCCUGCCUUACACACAGAACAUCCAGAUCUGCCACAUAGAAGGCUCUCAGCACCAUGUAGACAAAGCUCUGAACUUGAUUGGGAAGAAGUUUAAGGAACUGAACCUCACCAAUAUCUAUGCGCCACCACUGCCUUCGCUGGCACUGCCUUCCUUGCCGAUGACGUCUUGGCUCAUGCUGCCUGAUGGUAUCACUGUGGAAGUCAUCGUGGUCAACCAGGUCAAUGCUGGGCACCUAUUUGUCCAGCAGCACACACACCCCACCUUCCAUGCACUGCGCAGUCUGGACCAGCAGAUGUACCUCUGUUACUCUCAGCCUGGAAUCCCCACCUUGCCCACCCCAGUGGAAAUCACGGUUAUCUGCGCUGCCCCUGGUGCGGACGGGGCCUGGUGGCGAGCCCAAGUAGUGGCUUCCUAUGAGGAGACCAAUGAGGUGGAGAUUCGCUACGUGGACUAUGGUGGAUAUAAGAGAGUGAAAGUCGACGUGCUCCGGCAAAUUAGGUCUGACUUUGUGACCCUGCCAUUCCAAGGAGCAGAAGUCCUUCUGGACAGUGUGGUUCCUCUGUCAGAUGAUGAUCAUUUUUCACCGGAGGCAGACGCAGCCAUGAGUGAGAUGACAGGCAAUACAGCACUGUUGGCCCAGGUGACAAGCUACAGUGCGACUGGCCUUCCUCUGAUUCAGCUAUGGAGUGUGGUUGGAGAUGAAGUGGUGUUGAUAAACCGGUCGCUGGUGGAGCGAGGCCUUGCACAGUGGGUAGACAGCUACUAUGCCAGCCUCUGACCUUGGCUCCUGAGUUGCUUCGGUCUUCUUUGCACUGUUGAGAGUGGGUUUGGCACCCAGGACAGAGUUUUAAGAGCAGAGUAACAAACACUGUUCUCACUGAGUCUUCUUUCCCCAUUCUGUAGUCCUGUGGAGGAGGAGGGUCCUCCCAGGAGGACCUGUGUGUUCUUUCAAAGCCUUAGAGUGGCGCUACACCGGCCAGCUGGCUUAGCUGCAGGAAGGCCUCUUAGCCAGGCUAUUCCCAUUCCAUCCGCUCCCUUCUCCCCACCCAAACCCCACACUGCAGCAGGCAGGCCAGGGCGGGUGUGGGGCUGGCUGAGAGGAUCAAUUUUAGAGUCUUUAUUCAGGGAGUGAGACAUGGACUAAUUGGUAUCGAUUCCCUGGAUAGCUCGCUUGGAUGAAUUGAUGGUGUUUAGCAGUUUUUAUAUACUUCCUCCGGGUCUCUAGGAACUCAGACUUUUUUAAACAUAGAUGUAAAUAAGGAACAGUUUGUCACACCUGACCCCAGUGAGUGGGGGGAAGGGCAGCUGUUAUCUUGCCAAGCCUGGUUGUAAUUUGUAACCAUUUUCUAUUUGUUCGAACUCUGUAAAUAAUAUGUUUAAAGAUGUAAUAUUUUGUACAAGACACACUGGAGAACAAAGGGAACUCAAAACUCUUCCACAUUCUUCCCGAGGAAAUCGACGACGUCCAUCCGUCCCACAGAGUGGGACCGACCGCCCCUGCUGCUCCAGCCAGGGCCCCUGCGCUUCCUGUGCAGACAGGAAGCUGUGUGGGAGACUGUCAUUUGGGAAUUUGAUUUUUUUUUUUCUGUACGAAUUUAAAAAAAAAAGAAAAAAAAGAAACUUCAUUGAAUUACCUUGCAGUGGUGUUGACUCUUUUAUAGACUGUCUUUAGCAUUGUGCAAUUUAAGAAUAACUUAAGGAUCUUGGACUUUACAUAAAUCUUGAAUUGUAUAAACUCUAA